UUAAGCGACUAAGCGUACACGGUGGAUGCCCUGGCAGUCAGAGGCGAUGAAGGACGUGCUAAUCUGCGAUAAGCGUCGGUAAGGUGAUAUGAACCGUUAUAACCGGCGAUUUCCGAAUGGGGAAACCCAGUGUGUUUCGACACACUAUCAUUAACUGAAUCCAUAGGUUAAUGAGGCGAACCGGGGGAACUGAAACGAUCUAAGUACCCCGAGGAAAAGAAAUCAACCGAGAUUCCCCCAGUAGCGGCGAGCGAACGGGGAGGAGCCCAGAGCCUGAAUCAGUGUGUGUGUUAGUGGAAGCGUCUGGAAAGGCGCGCGAUACAGGGUGACAGCCCCGUACACAAAAAUGCACAUGCUGUGAGCUCGAUGAGUAGGGCGGGACACGUGGUAUCCUGUCUGAAUAUGGGGGGACCAUCCUCCAAGGCUAAAUACUCCUGACUGACCGAUAGUGAACCAGUACCGUGAGGGAAAGGCGAAAAGAACCCCGGCGAGGGGAGUGAAAAAGAACCUGAAACCGUGUACGUACAAGCAGUGGGAGCCUCUUUUAUGGGGUGACUGCGUACCUUUUGUAUAAUGGGUCAGCGACUUAUAUUCUGUAGCAAGGUUAACCGAAUAGGGGAGCCGAAGGGAAACCGAGUCUUAACUGGGCGUUAAGUUGCAGGGUAUAGACCCGAAACCCGGUGAUCUAGCCAUGGGCAGGUUGAAGGUUGGGUAACACUAACUGGAGGACCGAACCGACUAAUGUUGAAAAAUUAGCGGAUGACUUGUGGCUGGGGGUGAAAGGCCAAUCAAACCGGGAGAUAGCUGGUUCUCCCCGAAAGCUAUUUAGGUAGCGCCUCGUGAAUUCAUCUCCGGGGGUAGAGCACUGUUUCGGCAAGGGGGUCAUCCCGACUUACCAACCCGAUGCAAACUGCGAAUACCGGAGAAUGUUAUCACGGGAGACACACGGCGGGUGCUAACGUCCGUCGUGAAGAGGGAAACAACCCAGACCGCCAGCUAAGGUCCCAAAGUCAUGGUUAAGUGGGAAACGAUGUGGGAAGGCCCAGACAGCCAGGAUGUUGGCUUAGAAGCAGCCAUCAUUUAAAGAAAGCGUAAUAGCUCACUGGUCGAGUCGGCCUGCGCGGAAGAUGUAACGGGGCUAAACCAUGCACCGAAGCUGCGGCAGCGACGCUUAUGCGUUGUUGGGUAGGGGAGCGUUCUGUAAGCCUGUGAAGGUGUGCUGUGAGGCAUGCUGGAGGUAUCAGAAGUGCGAAUGCUGACAUAAGUAACGAUAAAGCGGGUGAAAAGCCCGCUCGCCGGAAGACCAAGGGUUCCUGUCCAACGUUAAUCGGGGCAGGGUGAGUCGACCCCUAAGGCGAGGCCGAAAGGCGUAGUCGAUGGGAAACAGGUUAAUAUUCCUGUACUUGGUGUUACUGCGAAGGGGGGACGGAGAAGGCUAUGUUGGCCGGGCGACGGUUGUCCCGGUUUAAGCGUGUAGGCUGGUUUUCCAGGCAAAUCCGGAAAAUCAAGGCUGAGGCGUGAUGACGAGGCACUACGGUGCUGAAGCAACAAAUGCCCUGCUUCCAGGAAAAGCCUCUAAGCAUCAGGUAACAUCAAAUCGUACCCCAAACCGACACAGGUGGUCAGGUAGAGAAUACCAAGGCGCUUGAGAGAACUCGGGUGAAGGAACUAGGCAAAAUGGUGCCGUAACUUCGGGAGAAGGCACGCUGAUAUGUAGGUGAAGCGACUUGCUCGUGGAGCUGAAAUCAGUCGAAGAUACCAGCUGGCUGCAACUGUUUAUUAAAAACACAGCACUGUGCAAACACGAAAGUGGACGUAUACGGUGUGACGCCUGCCCGGUGCCGGAAGGUUAAUUGAUGGGGUCAGCGCAAGCGAAGCUCUUGAUCGAAGCCCCGGUAAACGGCGGCCGUAACUAUAACGGUCCUAAGGUAGCGAAAUUCCUUGUCGGGUAAGUUCCGACCUGCACGAAUGGCGUAAUGAUGGCCAGGCUGUCUCCACCCGAGACUCAGUGAAAUUGAACUCGCUGUGAAGAUGCAGUGUACCCGCGGCAAGACGGAAAGACCCCGUGAACCUUUACUAUAGCUUGACACUGAACAUUGAGCCUUGAUGUGUAGGAUAGGUGGGAGGCUUUGAAGUGUGGACGCCAGUCUGCAUGGAGCCGACCUUGAAAUACCACCCUUUAAUGUUUGAUGUUCUAACGUUGACCCGUAAUCCGGGUUGCGGACAGUGUCUGGUGGGUAGUUUGACUGGGGCGGUCUCCUCCUAAAGAGUAACGGAGGAGCACGAAGGUUGGCUAAUCCUGGUCGGACAUCAGGAGGUUAGUGCAAUGGCAUAAGCCAGCUUGACUGCGAGCGUGACGGCGCGAGCAGGUGCGAAAGCAGGUCAUAGUGAUCCGGUGGUUCUGAAUGGAAGGGCCAUCGCUCAACGGAUAAAAGGUACUCCGGGGAUAACAGGCUGAUACCGCCCAAGAGUUCAUAUCGACGGCGGUGUUUGGCACCUCGAUGUCGGCUCAUCACAUCCUGGGGCUGAAGUAGGUCCCAAGGGUAUGGCUGUUCGCCAUUUAAAGUGGUACGCGAGCUGGGUUUAGAACGUCGUGAGACAGCUCGGUCCCUAUCUGCCGUGGGCGCUGGAGAACUGAGGGGGGCUGCUCCUAGUACGAGAGGACCGGAGUGGACGCAUCACUGGUGUUCGGGUUGUCAUGCCAAUGGCACUGCCCGGUAGCUAAAUGCGGAAGAGAUAAGUGCUGAAAGCAUCUAAGCACGAAACUUGCCCCGAGAUGAGUUCUCCCUGACUCCUUGAGAGUCCUGAAGGAACGUUGAAGACGACGACGUUGAUAGGCCGGGUGUGUAAGCGCAGCGAUGCGUUGAGCUAACCGGUACUAAUGAACCGUGAGGCUUAACCUU
rnacentral:rRNA from 1 species